rnacentral:tRNA from 2 species
CGGGGUAUAGCGCAGUUGGUAGCGCGCGGCAUUUGGGAUGCUGAGGCCGGGAGUUCGAGUCUCCCUACUCCGACCA